rnacentral:lncRNA from 1 species
GGAUCAAUAUUCCAACAGAUAUGCACAGUGGACUCCCAGACCAGUGUCAUGUCUCGGGUCCACCACAGGCCUAAUAUUCCCUUCAGAUCCCAGGGAGAACUUUUUUUUCUUCUCCCCAGUGCUUAUAGAUGAAAUGAUGACAUAAAUAAUGAAAAUGUAGUUUGUUUUUCUUUCGUUAGGACAAAUUGCUCACAUGGAUCUAUUUUAUUUUUUAUUAUUUAUCUAAAAAUAUAUUUAAAGAUCCACUAUACUAUGCAAAUUUGUUUGUGACGUAUAGUUAGUGCCUAAUUUUACAUCACAAGUCACCCUGAAGUUUAGCUGAUCACAUGUGGACGUCGUCUUCAUGAUCAACGCUUCAAACCCUUCUGGUUCUAUGAUUCUUUUUCUUUUAAUAAAUUAACCUUUGAAACAACUUCAUCUGGUUUUCAGUUGUUUGAGGGUUUUUUUUUUUAACAUUUUAAUUACUGUUCAACAAAUUAAACAUUUAAUAAUUUUGAAAAAUCAAGCUCAGUGUUAGUUUACUGUACACUCUUGUAUGUAAUUAUGUGUUACUGUCUUCUUUAUCACCUGUAAAAGAAAAUAAAGAGACUUUUAUGCCUUUUUUUUUUUUUUUUUAAUCCCCUCUCCUGAACAAAGACUAUCAUUUUAAACAUUGCAUGUUGUAUUCCUUAAUUGAUUAAAUAUUAAAUACUAAGAAUUUCAUUGUGGGCUAUUUCUCAUUCUGUUUAAUCACAAAUCUGAAAUAUUUCAAAAUGUUUGGGGUUGUUUUUUUGUUUUGUUUUAAUCAUCAGAAUUCAGUUCCGAUCUCUAGGAUCUGAUUGCAGUUUGUUUGCUGCCUGUUUCCAUGGUCACCAGUGUUGGCAUUAGUAGUUAAGUUGCACAGUGUGUGGAGUGCUUGUUUGGUUUUACUGAUUGUGGUCUAAACACCUCAAGCUGUAGUGGGAAAAUGGUAAAAGGCGGAAAGCGGCAUUUUUCAGUGAGCACUGAUUGCAAAUGGUUUGCUCAUUCAGGUUUAUCAGAAAAUGAGACAAAGACUCAAGAGAACUGUACAAGCACUGGGAUCAUGCUGACUCAAGUGAAGUCAUCAUUGCCUCAGGCUUUAAACUUUCAACGCUAUCCUAAAUGGAAAAGUCAGCAGAAAUCCAGAGAGUAUCCCUUCUCAGACCAUGACAACAAGCAUGCCUUGAAAGACGACGUCAUUGUAUUCUCUCAUAGUGUGGGAAGGAGAAGGUGUCUUGAUGAUCGCAGACAGCACAUCUCCCGUUUCUGCCUGUGCCAUGGUGGAACUGACAAUGGCACCAAAGAGACUCGAGGGAACGUCACAGCCUACCAGAGUGACUUCAUAGUGAAAGAGGUUGUUGACUCUGCAUCCAGAAACCGGCGCUUCCCUCACAACCACAGGCAGAAGUCUGCAGAGGCAGCUUUGGCACAGGCGGGGGAGCAGUUUAUGUGGUUCGGACGAGACGAUUCUGACCAGUCUGACACCCUGCAAGUGCUGGCAGCUACCAACUGCUCAACACCAUCCAAGCCUUAA